GGUCCUCUUUGACACCUACCUUACUCUCUCCCUCCACUCACACUCUGAGAACUGUGCUCAGGGGCAGCGCUACAACUUCCACAUUGGUCUUUACAGGGCUUGAGUGAUUAUUUCAAGAACAGAACGCUGUGUGGAAACCUUUACCAUAUUUCGUUGUAUCUAAGACACAUUUUUUUUUUUUGAAAUUUAACAUCUCUAAGGUUGGGUUAUGUUUCUUCAUCAUUGUCAGGUUGGAGCUUAAUCAGCAGCACUUUUUUUUAAUGUCACACACAGUAAUGGUGAUGCAUCUCACAAUUGAGAUCAUCUUAGACAUGAUGGAAUAUGGAAUCGUGUGCCUGUUACAAGCCAGGCUCUUGUCUGGGUUCUAGAGACGGUGGAAACCAAGACAGCACCAUCCUCUAGUGGUGUUCACAUCCCACCACAGUGGAGUCAGGACUUUGAAGUCCUCCAUUGGAUCUUCUCGGAAGAUGAGGGAAAUGAGAGAGUGUGGAGAGAGAUUUUGUAAGUCCGGUCUGGAAGUGGUCAUUGUUCAGAAUCCAGCCACGUGGGUACAUGGAACUGUAAGGCUAUUUCAACAUGGGAAACUGAAAUCGGGCAUAUCCCUGCGGAAGAAGCUGUCUCUUAGCGAAGAAUAAAACUGUGGACUGACCCCCACCCAUUUGCGAAGAAAGUACUGGGUCUUCAGCUUUCAUUGUUCAGCCGGUGGUCUUUGUGGACAACACCAGGGGCCCCUCCUGCUGAAGACUGUCUGGACUUCCUGAUUUUCACUCCUGUAUAAACCCCCUCCCCCAUUACUACCUUUGUCUCCUUGGGGAAAAAAAAUGUUUUUCACUUAAGCAAAAUAAUAACUACCCAGUAUUUGUUUCUGGAGUGAAAUUGUAAACUUCAUUGUACAUUCUUCCUGGCUUUGAUGCUUAUCGUGAAGAGUUCAGUGAAAAUAAAUUGUUUUUAU
rnacentral:lncRNA from 1 species